rnacentral:rRNA from 1 species
CAGCCACCGCGGUAAUACCGGCGGCCCGAGUGGCGGUCACUAUUAUUGGGCUUAAAGCGUCCGUAGCCGGGUUGGGAAGUCCUCCGGGAAAUCUGGCCGCUUAACGGUCAGAAUGCCGGAGGAUACUCCCAGCCUAGGGAGCGGGAGAGGCCGAGGGUAUUCCCGGAGUAGGGGUGAAAUCCUAUAAUCCCGGGAGGACCACCUGUGGCGAAGGCGCUCGGCUGGAACGCGUCCGACGGUGAGGGACGAAGGCCAGGGGAGCAAACCGGAUUAGAUACCCGGGUAGUCCUGGCUGUAAACGAUGCGGACUUUGUGUCGGACAAGCUAUGAGCUUGUCCGGUGCCGGAGGGAAACCGUUAAGUCCGCCGCCUGGGGAGUACGGCCGCAAGGCUGAAACUUAAAGGAAUUGGCGGG